UCGCGGCCUAUCAGCUUGUUGGAGAGGUAACGGCUCACCAAGGCAUCGACGGGUAGCUGGUCUGAGAGGAUGAUCAGCCACACUGGGACUGAGACACGGCCCAGACUCCUACGGGAGGCAGCAGUGGGGAAUCUUGCGCAAUGGGCGAAAGCCUGACGCAGCAACGCCGCGUGCGGGAUGAGGGCCUUCGGGUUGUAAACCGCUUUUACCAGGAAGGAAAAUGACAGUACCUGGAGAAUAAGGUGCGGCCAACUACGUGCCAGCAGCCGCGGUGGCACGUAGGCACCAAGCGUUGUCCGGAUUUAUUGGGCGUAAAGAGCUCGUAGGCGGUUCAGUAAGUCGGGUGUGAAAACUCUGGGCUUAACCCAGAGACGCCACCCGAUGCUGCUGUGACUUGAGUCCGGUAGGGGAGUGGGGAAUUCCUGGUGUAGCGGUGAAAUGCGCAGAUAUCAGGAGGAACACCAAUGGCGAAGGCACCUCUCUGGGCCGAGACUGACGCUGAGGAGCGAAAGCGUGGGUAGCAAACAGGAUUAGAUACCCUGGUAGUCCACGCCGUAAACGGUGGGCACUAGGUGUGGGUUCCAACCAACGGAAUCCGCGCCGUCGCUAACGCAUUAAGUGCCCCGCCUGGGGAGUACGG
rnacentral:rRNA from 1 species